CGGAGAGCCCCGCCGCCGUCGGGCCGGGUGAAGGAGCCCCCCCCGGUGCCGCCCGCUUUCCGCGGGCAGGGGCGCAGAGCUCUCCGCCGCCCUCCCCGCUCCCUCCCGGUGCCGAUGCCUGGGACUCUCGGAAGACGCCGCUGGAAAAAAAAAAAAAAAACUCUGCUGUUCGUGACUUUGCUCGCAGAGUGAAACGCCUGCCGGGCUCGGGCAGGAGGGAGGCAGGAGGAUGCCCUCUCCGGUCCCGUCGAGCCGGAGCCGUGCAGGUGUGGUAUGUGGUGCUGGCGGUGGUGCGUCGCUGAUGUCACACUGCUGCCGCAUCGGUGCUGUGCCGUACACCAGCGACACAGCCAGGACUGGGAAAGGUUCGGGGAUGCAGCUGAGCCCAGUGGCACGCUGCGUGCUGCAGGAGGUGGGGAGGACUCUGGGGCUCAAAGCGGGGAGUUCUGCCGGCAGCCCCUGGAAAUGAGAGAGACCGAGUGGGGCUGUGGGGUCUCCACCCUCAGAGAUCUUCUCGACUUGAUCGGACAAAGCCCAGGGAUUCUCAUCUGGCUUUAGAGUGGGAUCCAGCACUGAAUUUGGACCAUGGGGGUUUGGGACAGAGAUCUGCAUGGAGGGUUCUCUCAUCCUCACUCAAAUCCUAGAGUCAGCCCAGCUCUGCCCAUAGCCUAGAGAGGACAGCAUCUCCUCCAGAAGUGAGAGAGGCAGGGAUGAUGUCUUCUGAUCUUUGCUUGCACAUCUUCUGUUUCAAGCUCUUCCCUUCCUUUUUCUCUGGAAAAGUGAGAAGAAAACAUGGAGGGGGGCUUUAAAAUCUAUCCAUGAGAGGCAAAGGCUUUAAGAUAGAUCCAUGGAGAAACCCAAGACAGAUCACUCCAGACAGAUCCCACCACCUCUGGAAGGGGACAGGGAAGCCCAGAAAUGAGCAGGACUCGUUCAGGGGCUGUGAGCACGGGUGUAGCCCUGCUACUGCAAGGAUCCUGUACAGCUCCUUGUCCUGUGGAAGUGGGAGGCUGUGUGAGUGGGGCAGAAGAAGAAGGCUGGUGUGUGGGUCGUAGAAAUUGGUGGAGCUCUGAGUGGGGAGUUGAGUGUGAAGCACAGCAGGAGCCUCAGCAGGAGCGCUGGGAGAGGAGAGGGUGCACAUCAAUCUCUCAGCAUGGGUGCAGACUGCAGUGGGACUCAGGUGGGAGGCUGGAAGUUGGGAAGUUUCUGUUCCAGCCUCGUGCUCAAAGCGGUCAGCCAGGAGUAAGACCGGGUUCUCAGGGCUCUCCUGCAAAGUCUAGACAGUGGAGACAGCAGAGUGGGCAACUUGACUGUCCUCUGGGGGGAGUUUCUCCUAUACACUCAGCACCUCUCUAGUCUCACUGUAUGCCUCUUGUCCUGCUGCUGUACACUGCUGCAGAGAGCUCACAUCCCCUGAGGACAGCUGAGCCUUCAGCUCCAUGGAGGACUUUUCAGGUGAGGUCUCCUCAGUGGUAUGAAAUUUGGAUAGAGGGAAGUUCCUUGCCUUCACUGGGUGCCAGAGCCCAGGUAUCCAGGUGGGGCACGAGAGGGAGAAAAUAGAGCACGAAGGUGGAAGGGUGUCCCCAGUGCUCGGUGCAAGCUCUCUGUGAUAAGCAGGGAGGAGAAGCUGCGGGACAGCCUUCCCUGAAGACAGAAGACAAGCACUGGACUUGGGGCAUGCUUUCCUCAGAGGAUGGCGUGUGGUGGCUGUGCACACGUGUGCACAGGUGUGAGUGCUGAGGUGUGGGUGCAGGUGUGCACUGCUGCAUGUGUCUGCUUCACAGCUCACUGUGGACUGCAUGUCUGUGUGCACACAUGGGUGCAUCUUCUGUACAAAGUGCCUUUCUAGCAUCAGUGCUUUGCACCAGUGCUGAGCAGGGACAGAAGGUUCAGGGCUCGCCAGUCCUCAGCCACCUCACCCUGGCCUAACUGGAGGCACAGGGACACUUUUGUUAGUGUAGGGUUUUUGUUUGUUUGUUUUAUUUUUGGUGGGAAAGCGUCUCUUCAGCCUUCCUCUGGCAGCAGCUACCUUCAGUUGCCUUUACUGUCAGCUGCUUCACCUCUUACCGGGGGAUGAGGACUGCACCAGAGAGCGUUUUGCCUUGUGUAAGCUCCUCCUGACCUCACAUAGCAUCUCACAAAGGUUCAAGAGCAAAACUCAGUGUCUAGAGGACAUGCACGAUAGACCUUCAUGACUCAUGAGGUACAAAUUGGGUAGGUUCAGCCAUGCACUGUUAGCUGAUAAGAUCUAGGUGCUUGUUCUUUUUUUCUCUCCAAAUCAUUUCUGCCCACAAACGAGGGAAACCAGACACCUGGGAAGCAUACUUCCUGCAGCGAAUGUGGUUAACAUUGCACCAUGGGCCUGGGCACGGGGCCACACACCUCCUGGGCAGGAUCUGUGCUCAGCAAGGAGCUACACGGCCCCUGUGUGGGACUCUGCACAGGGGCUGCAAGGAAAUGGGGAUAUGCCACAUCUGUGGGGAAAUGGGGAUACGUCACAUUGGACCAUGGGAUGUCAAUGCGUGCUAACUGAUGCUUUGCUUGUAAUUCUCAGAAUUAGGGAACUUUCUAUUUCUGGAAACGCGACUGUAAAUAUUGCAGGGCUUUCCUUGCAGCGAAGUUAGUCUAAGAUUCAAAGUAGCCUUUGAUCUUUGGGAGAUGAGUGCAGCAGGUUGCGGUGGGCAUUUGCAGAAGGACAGAGCAGUGCAGCGCCUGCUCCACGUGGGGUGUGGGGCAGGCACACCUUGCCUUGCCUGCAGGAAAGCUGUUGAUAAGCGUAGGGGAAAAAAAUUAAGUACGUAUUAG
ensembl:lncRNA